rnacentral:misc_RNA from 1 species
GAUGAAGAACGUAGCGAAAUGCGAUAAGUAAUGCGAAUUGCAGAAUUUCCGUGAGUCAUCGAAUCUUUGAACGCACAUUGCGCCCGCCAGUAUUCUGGCGGGCAUGCCUGUCCGAGCGUCAUUUCAACCAUCAAGCCCCCGGGCUUGUGUUGGGGACCUGCGGCUGCCCGCAGGCCCUGAAAACCAGUGGCGGGCUCGCUGUCACACCGAGCGUAGUAGCAAUCACCUCGCUCAGGGCGUGCUGCGGGUUCCGGCCGUUAAACAGCCUUACAAAACCCAAGGUUGACCUCGGAUCAGGUAGGAAGACCCGCUGAACUUAAGCAUAUCAAUAAGCGGAGGA